rnacentral:rRNA from 1 species
GGGAGACCCCGUCUUCCUUCCGUGGNUCUACGUCUUUACACACAUACGAUGUCUCGUGGAAUGUUUUUCGCGUUUAACGCAAUACAAUACAACUUUCAGCAACGGAUCUCUUGGCUCUCGCAUCGAUGAAGAACGCAGCGAAAUGCGAUAAGUAAUGUGAAUUGCAGAAUUCAGUGAAUCAUCGAAUCUUUGAACGCACCUUGCGCCCCUUGGUUAUUCCUUGGGGCAUGCCUGUUUGAGUAUCAUGAACACCUCAACUCUCAUGGUCUUCCGUGACGAGCUUGGACUUUGGGGGUUUGCUGGCCCUGUGGCCGGCUCCUCUCAAACAAAUCAGCUUGCCAGUGUUUGGCGGCAUCUCACGGGUGUGAUAACUAUCUACGCUCGCGGUUGUCUGCCAGGUAACCCUCAGCGAUGAAGGUUCAUUGGGGCUCACAAACGUCUCUCCUCGGCGAGGACAACUUUUGAACGUUCGAUCUCAAAUCAGGUAGGACUACCCGCU